rnacentral:rRNA from 1 species
AUUGAACGCUGGCGGCAGGCCUAACACAUGCAAGUCGAGCGAGCGGCGGACGGGUGAGUAAUGUAUGGGGACUGCCCGAUAGAGGGGGCUAACUACUGGAAACGGUAGCUAAUACCACAUACUAUCGGAUAACCCAUAUGGGAUUAGCUAGUUGGUGAGGUAAUGGCUCACCAAGGCGACGAUCCCUAGCUGGUCUGAGAGGUUGAUCAGCCACACUGGGACUGAGACACGGCCCAGACGCCUACGGAGGCAGCAGUGGGGAAUAGUGGACAAUGGGCGGAAGCCUGAUGCAGACAUGCCGCGUGUAUGAAGAAGGCCCUAGGGUUGUAAAGUACUUUCAGUCGGGAGGCGUUACCGACAGAAGAAGCACCGGCGAACUCCGUGCCAGCAGCCGCGGUAAUUC